rnacentral:rRNA from 1 species
AUCCUGGCUCAGGAUGAACGCUAGCGGCAGGCUUAACACAUGCAAGUCGAGGGUAUAGUUCUUCGGAAUUAGAGACCGGCGCACGGGUGCGUAACGCGUAUGCAAUCUACCUUUCACAGAGGGAUAGCCCAGAGAAAUUUGGAUUAAUACCUCAUAGUAUAGCAGUUUCGCAUGAAACCACUAUUAAAGUCACAACGGUGAAAGAUGAGCAUGCGUCCCAUUAGCUAGUUGGUAAGGUAACGGCUUACCAAGGCAACGAUGGGUAGGGGUCCUGAGAGGGAGAUCCCCCACACUGGUACUGAGACACGGACCAGACUCCUACGGGAGGCAGCAGUGAGGAAUAUUGGACAAUGGGCGCAAGCCUGAUCCAGCCAUGCCGCGUGCAGGAUGACGGUCCUAUGGAUUGUAAACUGCUUUUAUACAGGAAGAAACACUACUUCGUGAAGUAGCUUGACGGUACUGUAAGAAUAAGGAUCGGCUAACUCCGUG